rnacentral:rRNA from 1 species
GUGGACGCACCUCUGGUGUUCCGGUUGUCACGCCAGUGGCACUGCCGGGUAGCUAUGUGCGGACGGGAUAACCGCUGAAAGCAUCUAAGCGGGAAGCCCCUCCCAAGAUGAGACCUCCCUGGACCCUUGAGGUCCCUGAAGGGCCGUCCGAGACCAGGACGUUGAUAGGCCGGGUGUGGAAGCGCAGUAAUGCGUGUAGCUAACCGGUACUAAUUGCCCGUGAGGCUUGACCAUAUAACACUCAAGCGGUU